GACGAACGCUGGCGGCGUGCUUAACACAUGCAAGUCGAACGGAAAGGCCCCUUUCGGGGGGUACUCGAGUGGCGAACGGGUGAGUAACACGUGAGUAACCUGCCCUUGACUUUGGGAUAACUUCAGGAAACUGGGGCUAAUACCGGAUAGGAGCUCCUGCUGCAUGGUGGGGGUUGGAAAGUUUCGGCGGUUGGGGAUGGACUCGCGGCUUAUCAGCUUGUUGGUGGGGUAGUGGCUUACCAAGGCUUUGACGGGUAGCCGGCCUGAGAGGGUGACCGGCCACAUUGGGACUGAGAUACGGCCCAGACUCCUACGGGAGGCAGCAGUGGGGAAUAUUGCACAAUGGGUGGAAGCCUGAUGCAGCAACGCCGUGUGCGGGAUGACGGCCUUCGGGUUGUAAACCGCUUUCGCUCAUGACGAAGCUUUGUGUGACGGUAGUGGGUAAAGAAGCACCGGCUAACUACGU
rnacentral:rRNA from 1 species